rnacentral:misc_RNA from 1 species
GUGAAUCAUCGAAUUUUUGAACGCAAAUUGCACUCUCCUCGGAGAUUAUGCCUGUUUGAGGGCCAGCCUAUAAAAAAUCGACAAGGUUGAGGGUUCGCGGUGGCGUCCGUCGGAAAUUGGGUCAUCUUAAAACUUUUGGUUUUAAGCGACUUAAAAUGUUCGUUGUGGUUCCAUGAACGUUUCUAAUAUUUAUGUCGUUUCACGUUUAAGGAAUCGAUUU